GACGAACGUUGGCGGCGUGCUUAACACAUGCAAGUCGAACGGAAAGGCCCUGCUUUUGUGGGGUGCUCGAGUGGCGAACGGGUGAGUAACACGUGAGUAACCUGCCCUUGACUUUGGGAUAACUUCAGGAAACUGGGGCUAAUACCGGAUAGGAGCUCCUGCUGCAUGGUGGGGGUUGGAAAGUUUCGGCGGUUGGGGAUGGACUCGCGGCUUAUCAGCUUGUUGGUGGGGUAGUGGCUUACCAAGGCUUUGACGGGUAGCCGGCCUGAGAGGGUGACCGGCCACAUUGGGACUGAGAUACGGCCCAGACUCCUACGGGAGGCAGCAGUGGGGAAUAUUGCACAAUGGGCGAAAGCCUGAUGCAGCAACGCCGCGUGCGGGAUGACGGCCUUCGGGUUGUAAACCGCUUUCGCCUGUGACGAAGCGUGAGUGACGGUAAUGGGUAAAGAAGCACCGGCUAACUACGUGCCAGCAGCCGCGGUGAUACGUAGGGUGCGAGCGUUGUCCGGAUUUAUUGGGCGUAAAGGGCUCGUAGGUGGUUGAUCGCGUCGGAAGUGUAAUCUUGGGGCUUAACCCUGAGCGUGCUUUCGAUACGGGUUGACUUGAGGAAGGUAGGGGAGAAUGGAAUUCCUGGUGGAGCGGUGGAAUGCGCAGAUAUCAGGAGGAACACCAGUGGCGAAGGCGGUUCUCUGGGCCUUUCCUGACGCUGAGGAGCGAAAGCGUGGGGAGCGAACAGGCUUAGAUACCCUGGUAGUCCACGCUGUAAACGGUGGGUACUAGGUGUGGGGUCCAUUCCACGGGUUCCGUGCCGUAGCUAACGCUUUAAGUACCCCGCCUGGGGAGUACGGCCGCAAGGCUAAAACUCAAAGGAAUUGACGGGGCCCCGCACAAGCGGCGGAGCAUGCGGAUUAAUUCGAUGCAACGCGUAGAACCUUACCUGGGUUUGACAUGGAUCGGGAGUGCUCAGAGAUGGGUGUGCCUCUUUUGGGGUCGGUUCACAGGUGGUGCAUGGCUGUCGUCAGCUCGUGUCGUGAGAUGUUGGGUUAAGUCCCGCAACGAGCGCAACCCUUGUUCACUGUUGCCAGCACGUUAUGGUGGGGACUCAGUGGAGACCGCCGGGGUCAACUCGGAGGAAGGUGGGGAUGACGUCAAGUCAUCAUGCCCCUUAUGUCCAGGGCUUCACGCAUGCUACAAUGGCUGGUACAGAGAGUGGCGAGCCUGUGAGGGUGAGCGAAUCUCGGAAAGCCGGUCUCAGUUCGGAUUGGGGUCUGCAACUCGACCUCAUGAAGUCGGAGUCGCUAGUAAUCGCAGAUCAGCAACGCUGCGGUGAAUACGUUCCCGGGGCU
rnacentral:rRNA from 1 species